CCCACGUUAUCAUGUUCUAAUUUCGAGGCCCAAACCGGAUUAAAUCUCUGUGGGUAUCUCCGACCAAAAGAAUUUGAUCCUCACUGUAGCUCCUCAGCGGUUCGUAUGCAUGAGUGUCAUGAACCCAAGAAUUUCUCACAAACUUUGCCUUGAGUGUGAUGCUCUUGUUGCCGUCUCGGAGUUAAUCAAGAGCGCAAGCUGUGACCUAGCUUACGUAGACUGCUAUUCAAUUGUGUACAUGCUGCUGAAAAACAAUCAUGUUCUUAAUUUUUAUAGAAAUGAAUAAUUUGCCAAAUUUUUCUGCGGCUACAGAAUUGGUGGUCACGGAACAAGCAGCGUCCAUGCUGAGCAAUGUAUUCAUCUGUGAUUUUUGACUGUGUUAUAUGACGUCCGCAUUCUGAAGCUACAAGCAGGAGUGAGUGUUGGAAUUGGGUAUUCAUGCGCAAAUGGGAAUUGGAUAGUAAGCACGUCUGGAAGCCAAGGGUUUAUCAUGACAGAAGUCUUUGCCGUCCACUGAACUAGUCUCAUGCCAUGUUCGUGAUGCCGGCACCAUAUUAUGGUGCAUGUUUUAUGUUGGUGAGUUUAUGUCACACAUUUUCAUGUAUCUCUAGGGAUGGAGGGAGAGUUGUGAUCGUGCGGUGAGAUAAUGGUGAUGAGCUUUCAGAGGCCGGAUAAUACAAGAGAAAUUGGGCACAGUUGCUCGUUGAGAACGACCUCCGCGAGGGUUUUAUUGAGGGCACGAAACGGUACUUGAGGAGACUUCGUCCAGUGUGUGCUCGGAAUGGCGCCAGAGUUGAGGUUGAGGAGCUUGGAGUGGUUCGCCUUAAGAAAAGAGAAGGGAGAGACAAUGGAGAGAAAUUGCCAGAAGAUCUCGGGCUGAGGUUGGAGAUCAAGGCGAAGGCUGCUGCUUUUAUUAGCAAUGCGCAAUCGGCGAAAGGAGGUGAAGGGCUGCUUGGACAAAUACUCGGUGUGGAUCUCGGGUUGUGAAGACUGGGUUGUCAGUUAGUGUGGGUGGUUAUGAGCCUCGGUCUUCGACUGUAAAAUUUUUUAUACUAUAACAAUUUCGUUUUGCACGAAA